UAUAUAAUGUAUAUUUUAUCAAAUAUAUUUUACAAUAAAUUGCUAUCAAAUGAAAUCCAUAUGUCUAUCCAAGUUACGUUCCAAAUUUGAAGUUGAUAUCACAAAAAGGUAAGUUCCUAUGAUAUUUUAUUUGGGAGUUGUACCAAAAAUAGCCACCGUGUGACACAGACAUUCUAUUAAUAUUUUUUAUGCAUUCCGUUACUAAUUUAUAAAUGUCUGUCCAAAUAUCACUUCUAUUACAAAACAGGUUGGACAUGUUGUUGGAAAAUAUGGAACUGUGAGACUCAGACCUUUCCAACAAUAUUUGUUUUGUCAAGAUCCGAAAAAGAUUUGACUGUAACGAGUCUGUCUGUGUUUUCCCUUGUUUCUGUCUGCUGUCAUUCCCUGCUGUUAAUUGUUGACCCUGCCCACCUAUUUGUUACCAUGGACAUUAACUGCACUUGUUCUCUUCCCCAGGUGUUUUGUCUUAGUCUGUGAUUGCCUCCGUCUUGUGAUUUGUCUGUUCAUUUCCUGGCUGUGAGUUGUUGUUAGUAUGUGCUAUGCUGUCUGUUCAUGUCUCUGUUCCUGUGCCCUGUACUGCUCAGUGUUCUGCCCUGUUUUGUUUGCUUGAUUGUUUCUUGUUUCCUGUUUUUGUCUAUUAAAAGGAUUUAACUGCAUUUGGAUCCGCAUUCGCCUGUGACUAUAUAUAUAUAGCUAAAAUAUAUAUUGUAAUUUGAAACCUGGUGAUUUCUAAAAUAUGUGAUCUGAAAAAUAUUUAAAGGGUGCCAAGUGUCCCACCAGUGGGAUUGUGACAGGAGAGGAAUGUAUUAACUCAUCUAAAUUGAGGGAAGAACAUAGGGAAAUAUGGAAAAACGGUGGAGUUUUCCCUUAAGGUUAAAAUGUGUUUUGGAUAUUUUUAACCUGUUAUCGGUAAUUACAUUUUCAGCACAGAGGAUUUAUAUGCAAGUUGCUGUGGGUAAAGACUAACACAUACAUACAAGUGAGAUCCUGGAAUAAAAUGAUAGAUGACUUGAUUAAUGUAUACAUUUGUAUUUUAGGGGCACGCCAUUUCUGUUGAAGCCCAGGGUUCAUCAGCUGAUGAUGAACAUAAUGGAAGUCCAAGAAGAGAUGACCCCAGCACUUCAAAGUUUUUGAAAUUACCAAGCCCAGAAUAUGUCCUCUUUACUGAUCGUGAACUACAACAUGUGGAAUACUACCUUAUGAUAAUAAGUCAACUGGAUCGAGUCAUGAGUGGUCCUGUGAAGGCCAGACACCCUCCAUCCAAGAAAGUACGUCUACAUGAAGUACCGUCUGCUGCCGCGGCAAGUGACUGUGAUACUGUUUCCAGCGUGUCAACAGUUCAAAUAUCACCACCUUCAAGAUCAAGCACCCCACGACAAGAAAAUGACAGCAUUGAUGAAGCAUCCGACGGUCCAGAGAACAGCCUUGACAGCCAGAAAACACAGGCACGACAUUACAGGACUUUACAAGAAAUGUAUAAAGCAAAGAAGCCAAACAAAGCUGCUGUAACUCAUCUAUUAGACCUGGAGUUCCAGUCCAGAAGAAAUUUCAUUGACUCAAAUGCUUUGAAGGAGCAAGACAGACCCACAAAAAGGUUUACAGGCAUACCCGUGCUUCAAAAAAUUG